CUAUUUGGCCCCGCCAGACGGUCUCGGUUCGUAGUGUGAGUUGACCCUCCCUACAUUCGAGAUGGCUAGUGAGCUGUAGGCGAGCCUUCGGGUAAGCCAUGAGAUUGAUGAACAAGUAAAUGAGGUAAACGAACGAGUGAAUAGCCUUACCUUUGGACAUGAUAACCGGUUAGCUGCUUACCUAUUUCAUUGUGCAUGCAUCAUAUAAUUAUGAUUGGGCAUAGUAGAGUAGCUUUACUCCUGUCAUUUACAGCUUUUCUUGUUAUCUAUCUAUCGAUUGUCUACUUUUGCCCGCUUGGACCUAGUGGGGAGAUCGGCGGAGUCGGCGGCCGAACCCACUGGGAACUAAGGAAGUUAGUUCUCACCCCCAUUUUACUACAGGUUCCAGUUCGGGUGCCCCCGGUGAGCGUGAGGAUCGCGGUAAGGGCCCGGCGUUCUAGUCGCAUUAGCUACCUCCCUUUUGUAUUAGCUAUCACCCCUUUCUGUAUUGGAGAGUAGAUGAUGUAUAGGGUGAGGUUCGAGUGAUUGUAUUUAUGUCUUUGGAAGAAAGUAAAGGAUGUAAUUAAA
rnacentral:lncRNA from 1 species